GGUUCCUACGGGAGGCAGCAGUGGGGAAUAUUGCACAAUGGGGGAAACCCUGAUGCAGCGACGCCGCGUGAGUGAAGAAGUAUUUCGGUAUGUAAAGCUCUAUCAGCAGGGAAGAAAAUGACGGUACCUGACUAAGAAGCCCCGGCUAACUACGUGCCAGCAGCCGCGGUAAUACGUAGGGGGCAAGCGUUAUCCGGAUUUACUGGGUGUAAAGGGAGCGUAGACGGCCAGACAAGUCAGAAGUGAAAACCCGCGGCUCAACUGCGGGAGUGCUUUUGAAACUGUUUGGCUGGA
rnacentral:rRNA from 1 species